AACGAACGCUGGCGGUAUGCUUAACACAUGCAAGUCGAACGAACAAAAUUGGGGCUUGCUCCAAUUUUAGUGAGUGGCAAACGGGUGAGUAACACGUGGGAAUCUACCUAUCAGUACGGAAUAACAUUUGGAAACAGAUGCUAAUACCGUAUCUUCUCCAAGGAGGAAAGAUUUAUCGCUGCUAGAUGAGCCCGCGUAAGAUUAGGUAGUUGGUAGGGUAAUGGCCUACCAAGCCGACGAUCUUUAGCUGGUCUGAGAGGAUGAUCAGCCACACUGGGACUGAGACACGGCCCAGACUCCUACGGGAGGCAGCAGUGGGGAAUAUUGGACAAUGGGCGAAAGCCUGAUCCAGCAAUACCGCGUGAAUGAUGAAGGCCUUAGGGUUGUAAAGUUCUUUUAGUUGGAAAGAUAAUGACGAUACCAACAGAAAAAGCCCCGGCUAACUCCGUGCCAGCAGCCGCAGUAA
rnacentral:rRNA from 1 species